rnacentral:rRNA from 1 species
CCUACGGGUGGCUGCAGUGGGGAAUAUUGGACAAUGGGGGGAACCCUGAUCCAGCCAUGCCGCGUGUGUGAAGAAGGCCCUCGGGUUGUAAAGCACUUUCAGUGAGGAAGAACGCCUGGUGGUUAAUACCCAUCAGGAAAGACAUCACUCACAGAAGAAGCACCGGCUAACUCCGUGCCAGCAGCCGCGGUAAUACGGAGGGUGCGAGCGUUGAUCGGAAUUACUGGGCGUAAAGCGCGCGUAGGUGGCUUGAUAAGCCGGUUGUGAAAGCCCCGGGCUCAACCUGGGAACGGCAUCCGGAACUGUCAAGCUAGAGUGCAGGAGAGGAAGGUAGAAUUCCCGGUGUAGCGGUGAAAUGCGUAGAGAUCGGGAGGAAUACCAGUGGCGAAGGCGGCCUUCUGGACUGACACUGACACUGAGGUGCGAAAGCGUGGGUAGCAAACAGGAUUAGAUACCCCAGUAGUC